rnacentral:rRNA from 1 species
GCCGACAACUAGCUCUCUGCAACUUCCCACUGAAGCUAAGCAGGUCUGCUCCUGGUCAGUAUCUAGAUGGGAGACCACAUGGGAAAGCUAGGUUGCUGUCGGAA